GUACGAGGCUCGGCAGUCAAUGGACAUCUUGCAACCGCGAUUUUGACAUAAACGAAGUGCUGUCUUUUUGCGCACCUUUCGAGCAGUAACCUGCGCCGUUUAUUGAAAGGGGACCUCAGUCUUUGUCGUCUGCUGAACGUGGUUUUCUCGGCACAAAUCAACUUCAAUAAAUUAGACGACAGGGGAGAAGUCUAACAGAAGGCCUAUCAGACAGGUGCCAACUGGUUCUUCUAAAGGCAGGAAAAUCUUAGAGACUUGGCCAACGUCAGGGGUGGUGCACCAAGGAAACCUUCACUUUCAAUUCUUUCAAAUUUAUCAAUCUUGUAGGUGUACUUUUGUGGCAGCUUUGAUCUCAUGUGGUACUUGAAAAUUGUCGCUGACACUUUGGUUGUGGGUUGUCCUUCUUUUCUUCACAAGUGGUGGUAUACAGUCAUCGGCGGCUACUUGUUCUUUCUCCUGAGAGUCUGUCAUGACUCCUAGAAUGACAGGGAAUAAUGAUAAUUGUGAUCUGUCUGAUGACAUAAAUAUGUGGAAGCCCCUCUAUACAAGACACUUUACAUAAACCAACG